AUGAAAACCUUCAACUUCCUCUUCUUCCACGCCAUUUUUCUACCUCCAACAACAUUGCCUUUAGGUCUGUUUUCUCUCUCUCUCAACCUGCUAGAUUGUUUCUUUUCACUACCCUUUUUAAUGGGUUGCGUUUUGUUUCUUAUUUCAACCUGUUCCUAUAACUGUGUUUUCCGUUUUCUCUUGCACACAUACUGUUUGUUGUUUGUUCCGUUUUUUGUUACCCAUUUUUUUAGACCACUUUUUGGGUCUCCUCUGUAUGUGCACAAGGAUUUCUAA